rnacentral:rRNA from 1 species
CCUACGGGAGGCAGCAGUGGGGAAUUUUGGACAAUGGGCGAAAGCCUGAUCCAGCCAUUCCGCGUGAGUGAAGAAGGCCUUCGGGUUGUAAAGCUCUUUCGGCAGGAACGAAACGGUGGGCUCUAACAUAGCCUGCUAAUGACGGUACCUGAAGAAGAAGCACCGGCUAACUACGUGCCAGCAGCCGCGGUAAUACGUAGGGUGCGAGCGUUAAUCGGAAUUACUGGGCGUAAAGCGUGCGCAGGCGGCUUUGUAAGACAGAUGUGAAAUCCCCGGGCUUAACCUGGGAACUGCGUUUGUGACUGCAAGGCUCGAGUGUGGCAGAGGGGGGUGGAAUUCCACGUGUAGCAGUGAAAUGCGUAGAGAUGUGGAGGAACACCGAUGGCGAAGGCAGCCCCCUGGGUCAACACUGACGCUCAUGCACGAAAGCGUGGGUAGCAAACAGGAUUAGAUACCCCUGUAGUCCC